GACGAACGCUGGCGGCGUGCCUAAUACAUGCAAGUAGAACGCUGAAGAGAGGAGCUUGCUCUUCUUGGAUGAGUUGCGAACGGGUGAGUAACGCGUAGGUAACCUGCCUUGUAGCGGGGGAUAACUAUUGGAAACGAUAGCUAAUACCGCAUAACAAUGGAUGACACAUGUCAUUUAUUUGAAAGGGGCAAUUGCUCCACUACAAGAUGGACCUGCGUUGUAUUAGCUAGUAGGUGAGGUAAUGGCUCACCUAGGCGACGAUACAUAGCCGACCUAAGAGGGUUAUCGGCCACACUGGGACUGAGACACGGCCCAGACUCCUACGGGAGGCAGCAGUAGGGAAUCUUCGGCAAUGGGGGCAACCCUGACCGAGCAACGCCGCGUGAGUGAAGAAGGUUUUCGGAUCGUAAAGCUCUGUUGUAAGUCAAGAACGGGUGUGAGAGUGGAAAGUUCACACUGUGACGGUAGCUUACCAGAAAGGGACGGCUAACUACGUG
rnacentral:rRNA from 1 species